rnacentral:rRNA from 1 species
GUUAAAAAGCUCGUAGUUGAAUUUCGGGGUUAGUAGGUCGGUCAUGCCUCUGGUAUGUACUGGUCUCACUGAUUCCUCCUUCCUGAUGAAUCUUAAUGCCAUUAAUUUGGUGUUUUGGGGAAUUUGGACUGGUACUUUGAAAAAAUUAGAGUGUUUAAAGCAAGCUAACGCAUGAAUACAUUAGCAUGGAAUAAUGAAAUAGGACGUUCGAUCCUAUUUUGUUGGUUUCUAGGAUUGACGUAAUGAUUAAUAGGGAUAGUUGGGGGCAUUAGUAUUCAAUUGUCAGAGGUGAAAUUCUUGGAUUUAUUGAAGACUAACUACUGCGAAAGCAUUUGCCAAGGAUGUUUUCAUUAAUCAAGAACGAAAGUUAGGGGAUCGAAGACGAUCAGAUACCGUCGUAGUCUUAACCAUAAACUAUGCCGACUAGGGAUCGGAUGAUGUUAAUUUUUUAAUGACUCAUUCGGCGC